UCAGUCAAAGUGUUGUGUUGACUACUCCAACAAGCGUCGUCGCACUGUAGAGACCGCGGCGGGAGAGAGACCCGCGAGAGAGUCAGUCAGUAGUUUUCGGCGAGUUAAUCAGUCAGUCUCAAGUCUCGACAUUGCAGUGUUGGUUGGUUGGUGGUGAGCUGGUGAGGGUGUAUUGCUUCUGUGAAACUAUCUAUUAUCGGCAGAACGGACACCAGCUACUGAGAAGAGAAAACAGAAGUGCCGAAAUGAGUUGCGGUGAAACGGUGUCGCAUUAAAGAAAGUGAGUGAGAGAGAGAAGGUGUACCACCACCCUGGAUGACUCAAGCCGUGAGCUGCAAUCUGGUGGGAGGGGGGCAGAGGGCCACACACCACAGGAAGGAUGUUAGUUAACGGCCAUUACCAGCAUAAUCAAUUAUUACUUGAGGCACCGUUUUCUCAGCCGCAUAGCAUAACACACCCGCCGCGCCAUGUUCUUACUGGAGACGUUUUUCCAGCGAAUCACCACCGACUUUCGCCAGAAGGAGCUGUUGCCUCUCAAGCUCCUGUUCUUCGUGCACGCAUCCACGCUGUACGUGCUGUACCCGUACCUGACGAUCCACAUGCGCGAGCUGGGCAUCAACGUGGAAGAGGCGGCCAUCAUGUCAGCUGUCACGCCCAUUGUUGCCAUCAUCAUGCCGCCCGUCGCCGGAGUCAUAGCUGACCGCAUCGGCAAUUUCAGAUUUCUGCUGUCUCUGUUCAGCACACUGGGAGGGGCGAUGUCUCUCCUUCUCCUUCUGGUACCGGUUGGCAGAGUGACCAUCAACUACCCAGAGCAAGUACUUCUAGAUUUACACUGCUCCAUCCAGACACAAGGUGCGCUGGAACUCACUAUUGGUGAUGAGAAUCCGUGUCUUCUUCCUCCAAAUUUGCUGAGUGCUCAAGAGAAGGUUGCACUCGACCUCAAAACUUGUGGUCUACUCUGCUACAGGGAUCCAGAUGAAUUCUCGUUCGGCGGCGACCGAGGCCCGUCGAGCCUGGACAACGAGUCGCUGGCGAUUCUGCGCGCGCGCAGCUACACGAUCGCGUUCGAGGACGCCGACGCCAACACGACCGACGACUAUACCUACCUACUGUCUGCCGACGACCUGAUGCCCAUUCACGACGUCGACGACGACCUGCGUCGCUACCGACACAUGGAGAACUUCGGCCGUUAUCACAGCUCAGUGCGCAAGUUCAACAACAACACCUAUUUUUUCCCAGCCGGCGGUUUGUACGAUUUCGUCUGCGCAGACGCGAAGUGCUCAAUAGCAAGGACUAACCGCAGUGUGCCCCCUGUCUUCAAGCCGGUCACCCAGCAUCUGAGUGUCGAUCUGAGGAGGGUUGCUGAUGCGGAGGACAGCGACCCGCGGUUCAACGUCGAUCACGUUCGCUUGCUGUCGCAGAUUUCGAACGUGUCUGACUCCAACAAGUACUUGGGCAGCAUUUGUCAUGGAGAGGAUACAAGCUACGAGUUUGCAAAGGUGUCCAUUCCUCUGCUGAACCCUGAGAACAGCCUGGAAGUGGACACAACACUGACCCUGACCAGCUGUCAGCCGGCUUGUCUGAUCACAGCCAAAAGGAAGACGAUGUGCACCAAUCACAAGCGAGUAGUCGAAUACGACAUCAAACUCACGUUCUGGCUCUAUCUCAUAAUCAGGGUCUUCAUCAGCAUGAUCAGUGGCACGGCGUUCGCUAUGUUUGAAGGUGCUGUAAUUGCCAUUCUGCGGGAGCAUAAAGCCGACUACGGACUUCAAAGAAUCUAUGCCGCCAUUGGAGGAAUGAUAAGUUCCCCACUGUCUGGAAUGCUCAUUGACUAUGCUAGUCAAAAUAAGGGCUACACAGAUUUCAAGCCAGCAUUUUACCUUUAUGCCGGAUUGAAAAUAAUAAGCGGAGCACUAAUGAUGUCAAUGAAUCUAGAAUUCAAAUCGCCAGCCGCCAAUGUUGUAGCAGACGUUCUGACGGUUUUGAAAAAUAUCGAGAUAGUGGCACUAUUCAUCACCUGCUUCAUUUUGGGAACGGCUUGGGGUUACAUUGAGAGCUUCCUGUUCUGGCUUCUGCAAGAUCUGGGCGCAUCGCGCUCUCUCAUGGGGAUCACCAUCACGAUUGGAGGCAUAGCAGGUCUGCCACUGCUCGUCAUGUCAGGUCCCAUUAUCGACAAAAUCGGUCAUGCCGAUGUGCUCUUCAUCGGAUUUGUCUUCUACGCCAUUAGGCUACUAGGUUAUUCACUCAUCUACAAUCCAUGGAUGUGCCUGAUAUUCGAAGCAAUGGAGUCUGUGACGUCAUCGCUUGCGUUCACGGCAGCCGUGACUUACGCUGCCAAGUUAUCCACCACAACAACCGACUCCAGCAUUCAAGGUCUUCUGGGAGGACUGUACUUCGGAGUCGGUCAGUCACUUUUAAAUCUCUCAAAUGUAGACCUAACUUCAAUGAUCAGCUCAUUACCAAAUGGAGAAGUUCUAAAUGAGCUCAUAAGUGGCAUAAGUUUGAAGUGAACAAUCCUUAUCUUAAUAAUUUUGCAAACCUAAUGACAGUAAGCCAACUGUAAACAUCAUACUGGAUCAAAUGACAUGUAGUCAGAAAUGACUAUACUCAUUGUAAGGGCGCAGGCAGCUUGAUAGGCGGGUACUUGAUGCAAGCCGUGGGGACACGACCGACCUACCAGAUAUUUUCGGCAACGACACUUAUAACUGGCUGCAUCUAUUACCUGUUCAAUCAUUUCUACAUAAAGCAGCGUGCUGUACAGAAGGAGAAUUUCAAUGCGCCCAUUACCAACUUGGAUAAGGAAAAAGAAGCGAAAGAGAGCUACGGCAGUUCGUUUGGCAAUGACGUGAAGCAUGUUAUUGAAAAUACUCCACUCAACAACCCGUCGAACAAUUCAAAAAAGUACACCUCAGACAAAGCGGCCAAUGACAAUCAAAAAGUGAACAAGGGCUUAGAGAUGAACUCGUGUCACCUGAAUUUGGGUUACACCAAUGAGGACGAAGAGACCCGAUUACGAAAUCGUGGUCAAGUUGUCGAAGACAAAAGAUAACAUUUGUUGGACUUAUUUAUUAUUUUUAUUUUCAUCACUAGGAAUGCUAAUUGAUAUGUCUAUCUGCUUAUAUACAAACACUUGACAGCAUUCUUCCUAGAUCUAGUGUUAAUGAAUUAUGUUUAUCAGUGAAAUUGAAGGUGCUUCAACUUAAAAUUUGCUAAGUUACAAAUAAAGUGGAUGGAACUUUUU